rnacentral:rRNA from 1 species
GGUUAAGCGACUAAGCGUACACGGUGGAUGCCCUGGCAGUCAGAGGCGAUGAAGGACGUGCUAAUCUGCGAUAAGCGUCGGUAAGGUGAUAUGAACCGUUAUAACCGGCGAUUUCCGAAUGGGGAAACCCAGUGUGAUUCGUCACACUAUCAUUAACUGAAUCCAUAGGUUAAUGAGGCGAACCGGGGGAACUGAAACAUCUAAGUACCCCGAGGAAAAGAAAUCAACCGAGAUUCCCCCAGUAGCGGCGAGCGAACGGGGAGGAGCCCAGAGCCUGA